CAUACACUUCUAGCCAGUCACCAAUUCUUAUGAGAAUCCCAUAAUUUACAUAUUAUUAAUGUAGGUGACGAAAAUUAAAAAUCGCAGCGAAAAGAGUAAUAUUUCCUGUAUCAUACACAAUGCACUUAAAUGUAAUUUUUAAAAUAUACAUAAUGUACAUACAUACUUCCAUAUUAUUAAUUACACAUGUAAUACAAUAUAUAAUAUUAUGUGUAUGUAAUAAUAAUACGGACACACAGUCAUUCAAUGACAAAAUAUGAUACGUCCAUACAUACAUCAUGUAUGUAUCAUUACAUAUUUAUGUACCUCACUAAAGAAAAUCCCGAACUGGACUGGAAAGAUGCAGAAACACACUCAGAUGUAGGAUCAUAGGAUGACUUACUUCUUCAGUCAGAGCACCUCAAGUCAAGAAGAAGUAUGAAGUAUUGUGAUUGUUGCGAGAGUGUAUUGGAGUCUCCAGUGGUGAGGAGGAGGAUACGUGAAGGCAAGAACAACAACUGGAGUUAGAGCACAGAUUUGAGAUUUUUCCAGAAUAAGAGAAGUUGAGACUUGAUAGACACGUUGUGCUGCGAUCGUACUUUGCCUUUGCACUGCGGACUGCAGUGCAGAUGAGUGGAGCAAACAGCAGCUGAGUGGAAUGAGAAUGAGGACUUGUGGUGGAUCAUAGCAGGUGCAAAUAGAAAUAGUGUAGUUAUUCAAGAGUAAGAGUUGUCGAUUGCCGAUGCCGAGAUUGAGAAUUGAGAUGCACUGCAAGGUGCAAGAAGUAUGUACCAAGUUUAGUGUCAGGUCUGGUGCCAGCUGCUAGAAACGCCCUGAGAUUCGGCGUUAGCAGUAGAGGGCAGAGAGCUUUAUACCACACGUCAGACGUCAUUCUCGUCAUGUCGCAAAUUUGCAAGGGUAAAUGAGCGGUCAAAAAGUUUCUGACAACGUGGUAUGCAACCUGCGAAGCUGCUGACUGUUGCAUAUUGCCUGCCUCGCAUAACUGGUGG